AUUGAACGCUGGCGGCAUGCCUUACACAUGCAAGUCGAACGGUAACAGGUCUUCGGAUGCUGACGAGUGGCGAACGGGUGAGUAAUACAUCGGAACGUGCCCGAGAGUGGGGGAUAACGAGGCGAAAGCUUUGCUAAUACCGCAUACGAUCUAAGGAUGAAAGCAGGGGACCGCAAGGCCUUGCGCUCACGGAGCGGCCGAUGGCAGAUUAGGUAGUUGGUGGGAUAAAAGCUUACCAAUCCGCCGAUCUGUAGCUGGUCUGAGAGGACGACCAGCCACACUGGGACUGGGACACGGCCCAGACUCCUACGGGAGGCAGCAGUGGGGAAUUUUGGACAAUGGGCGCAAGCCUGAUCCAGCCAUGCCGCGUGCAGGAUGAAGGCCUUCGGGUUGUAAACUGCUUUUGUACGGAACGAAAAGACUCCUUCUAAUAAAGGGGGUCCAUGACGGUACCGUAAGAAUAAGCACCGGCUAACUACGUGCCAGCAGCCGCCGUAAUAC
rnacentral:rRNA from 1 species